GUGGAUUAGAUACCCUGGUAGUCCAUGCCGUAAACGUUGGGCACUAGGUGUGGGGGCCAUUCCACGGUUUCCGCGCCGCAGCUAACGCAUUAAGUGCCCCGCCUGGGGAGUACGGCCGCAAGGCUAAAACUCAAAGGAAUUGACGGGGGCCCGCACAAGCGGCGGAGCAUGCGGAUUAAUUCGAUGCAACGCGAAGAACCUUACCAAGGCUUGACAUGUGCCGGACCGUCCCAGAGAUGGGGCUUCCCUUCGGGGCCGGUUCACAGGUGGUGCACGGUCGUCGACAACU
rnacentral:rRNA from 1 species